rnacentral:rRNA from 1 species
GACGAACGCUGGCGGCGUGCCUAAUACAUGCAAGUCGAACGGUCUUUUCUAUGGAAGCUUGCUUCCACUGAGAAGAUAGUGGCGAACGGGUGAGUAACACGUGGGUAACCUGCCCAUAAGAGGGGGAUAACAUCCGGAAACGGGCGCUAAUACCGCAUAGUUUUCUUGAUCGCAUGAUCGGGAAAGGAAAGACGGCCUUUGUGCUGUCGCUUAUGGAUGGACCCGCGGCGUAUUAGUUAGUUGGUGAGGUAAUGGCUCACCAAGACGAAGAUACGUAGCCGACCUGAGAGGGUGAUCGGCCACAUUGGGACUGAGACACGGCCCAAACUCCUACGGGAGGCAGCAGUAGGGAAUCUUCCGCAAUGGACGAAAGUCUGACGGAGCAACGCCGCGUGAGUGAAGAAGGUUUUCGGAUCGUAAAACUCUGUUGUCAGAGAAGAACAAGUUGGAGAGUAACUGCUCCAGCCUUGACGGUAUCUGACCAGAAAGCCACGGCUAACUACGUGCCAGCAGCCGCCGUAAGAC